GGGGCAUUAGCUCAGCUGGGAGAGCGUUUGUCUGGCAGACAAAAGGUCAGCGGUUCGAGCCCGCUAUGCUCCA
rnacentral:tRNA from 1 species